rnacentral:rRNA from 1 species
GACGAACGCUGGCGGCGCGCUUAACACAUGCAAGUCGAACGGAAAGGCCCUGCUUGCAGGGUGCUCGAGUGGCGAACGGGUGAGUAACACGUGGGUGAUCUGCCCCUUACUUUGGGAUAAGCCUGGGAAACUGGGUCUAAUACUGGAUAGGACCAUGCUGUAGGUGGUGUGGUGGAAAGAUUAGUUUCGGUAAGGGAUGAGCUCGCGGCCUAUCAGCUUGUUGGUGGGGUAAUGGCCUACCAAGGCGUCGACGGGUAGCCGGCCUGAGAGGGUGGACGGCCACAUUGGGACUGAGAUACGGCCCAGACUCCUACGGGAGGCAGCAGUGGGGAAUAUUGCACAAUGGGCGCAAGCCUGAUGCAGCGACGCCGCGUGGGGGAUGACGGCCUUCGGGUUGUAAACUCCUUUCAGCCAUGACGAAGCCCUUGUGGUGACGGUAGUGGUAGAAGAAGCACCGGCUAACUACGU